GGAGGGUGUAGCUCAGUGGUAGAGCGCAUGCUUUGCAUGCAUGAGGUUCCGGGUUCGAUCCCCGGCAUCUCCA
rnacentral:tRNA from 1 species